rnacentral:rRNA from 1 species
UUUACGGAGAGUUUGAUCCUGGCUCAGAACGAACGCUGGCGGCGUGCCUCAUACAUGCAAGUCGUGCGAGAAGCUCCCUGUAGCAAUACAGGGUGUGGAAAGCGGCGAACGGGUGAGUAACACGUGGGUAAUCUGCCUCAAAGUUAGGGAUAAGUCCUCGAAAGGGGAUCUAAUACCUGGUAAUAUCCCGGAAAGGCAUCUAUUCGGGUUUAAAGCUUCGCAAGAAGCGCUUUGAGAUGAACCCGCGUUCCAUUAGCUUGUUGGUGAGAUAACAGCCCACCAAGGCUAUGAUGGAUAGCCGGCCUGAGAGGGUGUCCGGCCACACUGGGACUGAGAUACGGCCCAGACUCCUACGGGAGGCAGCAGUAGGGAAUCUUGCGCAAUGGCCAAAUGGCUGACGCAGCGACGCCGCGUGGAGGAUGAAGUUCUUCGGAAUGUAAACUCCUGUUAGUGGGGAAGAAUAUCCCGCCUUUGGCGGGACUGACGGUACCCACAGAGGAAGCUCCGGCUAACUCCGUGCCAGCAGCCGCGGUAAUACGGGGGGAGCGAGCGUUGUUCGGAAUCACUGGGCGUAAAGGGCACGUAGGCGGGCAGAUAAGUCAGACGUGAAAUUUCACUGCUUAACAGAGAAACUGCGUUUGAAACUAUCUGUCUUGAGUACGGGAGAGGAAAGUGGAAUUCCUGGUGUAGCGGUGGAAUGCGUAGAUAUCAGGAGGAACACCGGUGGCGAAGGCGGCUUUCUAUCCCGAUACUGACGCUGAGGUGCGAAGGCUAGGGUAGCAAACAGGCUUAGAUACCCUGGUAGUCCUAGCGGUAAACGUUGGGCACUAGGUGUUGGUUCUUAAUGGAUCAGUGCCGAAGUUAAUACAUUAAGUGCCCCGCCUGGGGAGUACGAUCGCAAGGUUGAAACUCAAAGGAAUUGACGGGGGCCCGCACAAGCGGUGGAGCAUGUGGUUUAAUUCGAUGCAACGCGAAGAAUCUUACCCGGGCUUGACAUACGCCGGAAAGCCUUGGAAACAAGGUCCUCCUUCGGGACCGGUGUACAGGUGCUGCAUGGCUGUCGUCAGCUCGUGUCGUGAGAUGUUGA